AGUGAACGCUGGCGGCAGGCCUAACACAUGCAAGUCGAGCGAGCGGCGGACGGGUGAGUAAUGUAUGGGGACUGCCCGAUAGAGGGGGAUAACUAAUGGAAACGGUGGCUAAUACCGCAUACUAUCGGAUAACCCAUAUGGGAUUAGCUAGUAGGUGGGGUAAAGGCUCGCCUAGGCGACGAUAUCUAGCUGGUCUGAGAGGAUGAUCAGCCGGACUGGGACGGAGACAGGCCCCAGACUCCUACGGAGGCAGCAGUAGGGAAAAUUGCACAAGCGGCGCAAGCCUGAUGCAGCCAGGCCGCGUGUAUGAUGAAGGCCUUAGGGUUGUAAAGUACUGUCAGCGGGGAGGCGUUACCCGCAGAAGAAGCACCGGCUAACUCCGUGCCAGCAGCCGCGGUAAUUC
rnacentral:rRNA from 1 species